rnacentral:rRNA from 1 species
GACGAACGCUGGCGGUGUGCUUAACACAUGCAAGUCGAACGGUAAGGCCCUUUCGGGGGUACACGAGUGGCGAACGGGUGAGUAACACGUGAGUAACCUGCCCUCAUCUCUGGGAUAACAGUCGGAAACGGUUGCUAAUACUGGAUAUGAGCUUGCAAGGCAUCUUGUGGGUUGGAAAGAUUUUUUUUGGUUGGGGAUGGACUCGUGGCCUAUCAGCUUGUUGGUGAGGUAGUGGCUCACCAAGGCUUCGACGGGUAGCCGGCCUGAGAGGGCGACCGGCCACAUUGGGACUGAGAUACGGCCCAAACUCCUACGGGAGGCAGCAGUGGGGAAUAUUGCACAAUGGACGGAAGUCUGAUGCAGCAACGCCGCGUGCGGGAUGACGGCCUUCGGGUUGUAAACCGCUUUCAAUUGUGACGAAGCUUUUUUGUGACGGUAGCAGUAGAAGAAGCACCGGCUAACUACGUG